UUCCUCCCUCCCUCCCCCCCCCUGCUGCUCUCCUCUUUCUCUUUUUUCUCACUGUGACGUGCAAAAAUGGUCUUUCUCGUCUCUUUUCCCUCCCACUUCUCGCCAUUCCGGUCUUUUACUCUCUCGCCGUCUCCACUUUCCCCCCUCCACAAUCCAUUCGCUCUGGGUUAAUAUAUGCGCGGAUGCUUGACGACGCCACCGGAAGAUGGCGUUGUUCUUGAAAUCCCUGAGGGGGAAAAGUGUAGAGAAAAAAUCGUACCUGCGACCGAGAACAAUGGCACGGGGCUCAGACUGAGCAAUAUAUUCGUGACUCCGUGAGCACUGACUGGUUCUGCUGAAUCGCGCUACGAUCACUGCGCGAAGCGCAAGAAGGGACGAACGGGAGCGCACGAUUUAGCGAACUGAGAACAACAGCCUCCGUAAACACGCAGUCAUGCCAAACGGCCGCCGAGUCAUAACGGAAUUAGCGAUGGCACACAGCCUCGGUGGCAGGCGAUUCUCAAAUCGGACAGCGAGAAGGAGAGGGACAGAGAAAAAGAGUGUUUUUUGUCGUCUAUCGGCGGGGCGAAAGCGAACGGUGCGAACCAACGAGUUCAUAACAACACAGAAAACGCGAACACGAGCGAGGGAGAAAGAGAGAGAGAGAGUCGCACGUCGGAUUUCCGGCGCGUGGGGUUCGAUCCGCUGAGCGGAGCAGCUCCGCAAAAUCUAUAUACACAAAUGCUACGUAUAUACAUAUCAAUUUGUAUACACUACAGCCCAAAAGCUUGGAAUUACCGUUACUCUAGCUAAUCGUUUACUAGACAACAUCGCAGUCUUUUUAGUAGCAGAAUUUUUUUAAUGGCUAAAACGAAUAUUACAACUUUCUGAUCGAUUAAUCGACAAAUUGUUUUGAAUGUUAAUAAAUGAUUUUCAAUCGGGACGAUUUGGCCAUUGCACGACUCGCAUUCAUUUUACAUUUAUGUCAUUAGCAGGAUUGAACGAAAAUUACUGAAUCUUUUGUUCAUUGUAUCAAAAAAAUAAAUCUUCAACUCAUAAA